ACUACCGAGUAGUAGGAUGCAGUUCUGUGAACCCCGGGGAACGCAUGGCUGAGAAGCUCCUGCUUAACUUGGGACAAAGACUUAACUGUGGGCAAUGAUUACCCAGCUAUGCUGGGCCAUGGAGGAGCAGAGAAUGUGGAGGUGGAUGGAGAGACACUUACAGAGAUGGGACACUACAGGACUGGCUUCAUAUGUCCCUCUUCCAACCUCACAUCUCAGGCUUGGAGUGCUUCUACGUCUACCACGGAUGAUCGCAUUGAAAAGAAGAGGGACGCCUGGAAGGAAAGCUUCUCUAAGAGGAUUCCAGAGUUUCAUCCCUGCAGUCUUGUAGCUCUGCCCCAAGUUAACCCUGAAACAAGAAAGUGGGCUUAGUGGAGCAUUUAUUUCAAGGUUUCAUAAUCUCCUAUUUGACAGCAGCUGGUUGUACAAAGUGUGGAGUCUACUGGAUCCGAUUAUGUAACAGAUGGUUCUGUUUUCAAAUUUACUCCAAAUGUUCAGAUGCUUUUUCGCUAAAUUCAUAUUUCCCAUCUGAUACUACCCCCAGGGGCUCAGCUUUAAUCUGGGUUGUAGUUUGUAUGGUUUUUUUUUUUUUUUUCCUUUUUCCUUUUAAUCUUCCAACAGAAAGAGAAUUCCCAAACACCACCAAGCAUGCACAGGGGCUGAAAAAUGACUGCACAUGCAUGAAUACAGGAAGAUUGUUCUCAGAGGCAGGUCUUUCCUCAACCAAACCUCCUGCCCCAAGUUUACCCUGAGACAAGAGGUGGACUCAGAUAUGCCCUGUUUGGAGAAGCCUCAAAACCCAGCUCCAAUGACCUUGAGAUUUGAACAGUCUGUUCCUUUCCUCAGGCAGCACAUGUUAGCACAUCACAAUUCUUAGCAGCAAAUUAAAACUCCUUUAGCAGAGAAUAAAGGCACUGAGUAACUGUUA